GUAUUUCAUCCCUUAAACACUUCCUUUAGACCCAGUUUCAAACAAAAGACUUGGGCGUACUCAAAUACUUUUUAGAUAUUGAAGUUAUGAGAAGUAAGAAAGGUAUCUUCUUGUCUUAGCGGAAGUAUGUUCUUGAUCUACUAAUAGAAAUUGAAAAAUUAGGUGCUAAGCCAUGCAAUGCACCAAUGACCUCGAAUCUGCAACUUGGACCAGAGGAUGAUAAGCUAUUUGAAGAUCCUGAAAAAUAUAGGAGGUUGGUAGGUAAAUUGAACUAUCUUACAAUAACUCGUUCUGAUAUUGCAUACUUAGUCAAUGUGGUGAGUCAGUUUAUAUCUUCCCCAAUUGUUACUCAUUGGGAAGCUUCAGGACAAAUUUUGUGUUCUUUGAAAGGAGCUCCAGGGCGAGGCUUAUUAUAUAGUAAUCAUGGGCAUUUAAAUGUUGAAUGUAACUAUUGGAUAUUAUGUCUUUAUUAGAGGUAAUUUGGUGUCAUAGAGAAGUAAAAAAUAGAGUGUAGUCUCUCGAUCUAGUGUUGAAUCGAAAUACAGAGCUAUGGCAUAAUCAGUAUGUGAAAUAGUGUGGAUACUUAAAUUAUUAGAUGAGGUUGGCCUUA
rnacentral:misc_RNA from 1 species